rnacentral:rRNA from 1 species
AACGAACGCUGGCGGCAUGCCUAACACAUGCAAGUCGAACGAGACCUUCGGGUCUAGUGGCGCACGGGUGCGUAACGCGUGGGAACCUGCCCUUAGGUUCGGAAUAACUCCCCGAAAGGGGUGCUAAUACCGGAUAAUGUCUUCGGACCAAAGAUUUAUCGCCUUUGGAUGGGCCCGCGUUGGAUUAGCUAGUUGGCAGGGUAAAAGCCUACCAAGGCGACGAUCCAUAGCUGGUCUGAGAGGAUGAUCAGCCACACUGGGACUGAGACACGGCCCAGACUCCUACGGGAGGCAGCAGUGGGGAAUAUUGGACAAUGGGCGAAAGCCUGAUCCAGCAAUGCCGCGUGAGCGAUGAAGGCCUUAGGGUUGUAAAGCUCUUUUACCCGGGAUGAUAAUGACAGUACCGGGAGAAUAAGCUCCGGCUAACUCCGUG